rnacentral:rRNA from 1 species
GACGAACGCUGGCGGCGUGCUUAACACAUGCAAGUCGAACGGUGAUGGAGAGCUUGCUCUCCGGAUCAGUGGCGAACGGGUGAGUAACACGUGAGUAACCUGCCCUCGACUCUGGGAUAAGCGUUGGAAACGACGUCUAACACCGGAUACGACCUCGGAUGGCAUCUUCCGGGGUGGAAAGAGUUUCGGUCGAGGAUGGACUCGCGGCCUAUCAGCUUGUUGGUGAGGUAGUGGCUCACCAAGGCGACGACGGGUAGCCGGCCUGAGAGGGUGACCGGCCACACUGGGACUGAGACACGGCCCAGACUCCUACGGGAGGCAGCAGUGGGGAAUAUUGGACAAUGGGCGCAAGCCUGAUCCAGCCAUGCCGCGUGAGUGAUGAAGG